rnacentral:snRNA from 1 species
UCCGUCCAAGGCUAAAUACGGGC